rnacentral:lncRNA from 1 species
UGUGACUUGGUUGCUCAAAUGCCUGUGAAAAUCUACACCAUUAUGCAUAAGUUGUUAUUGUGCAGUUAAUCAUGUUUAAUCAGUUACACUAGCUUUUGAAAUGAUACAUCGUUAAACUUAGUGUAAGUAUCUCUAGAGAUGUAUUGUACUCAAAAAUCUUGGUUUCAAAUUAGGAUAUUAAAAAGAUCCACCCCAUGUCUCACAUACUGUACAAUAUAAUUUUUUAAAAAUCCAGUGAUUCUUGAAACAUAAAUACCUAAGAAAAACCAAUCAACUCAUUUUGAUUUGUCUAGAACAGCCACUGUUUCAUAC